GCCUGGAUAGCUCAGUUGGUUAGAGUGUGGUACUAAUAUUGCCAAAAUUCCAGGUUUGCUCCCCGUAUGGGACA